rnacentral:rRNA from 1 species
GAUGAACGCUGGCGGCGUGCUUAACACAUGCAAGUCGAACGAUGAAGCCCAGCUUGCUGGGUGGAUUAGUGGCGAACGGGUGAGUAACACGUGAGUAACCUGCCCUUAACUCUGGGAUAAGCCUGGGAAACUGGGUCUAAUACCGGAUAGGAGCGUCCACCGCAUGGUGGGUGUUGGAAAGAUUUAUCGGUUUUGGAUGGACUCGCGGCCUAUCAGCUUGUUGGUGAGGUAAUGGCUCACCAAGGCGACGACGGGUAGCCGGCCUGAGAGGGUGACCGGCCACACUGGGACUGAGACACGGCCCAGACUCCUACGAGAGGCAGCAGUGGGGAAUAUUGCACAAUGGGCGAAAGCCUGAGGCAGCGACGCCGCGUGAGGGAUGACGGCCUUCGGGUUGUAAACCUCUUUCAGUAGGGAAGAAGCGAAAGUGACGGUACCUGCAGAAGAAGCACCGGCUAACUACGU